AUGUGGGAUGCAGUCAUAGAGGUUUUGGGCAUUGUUGAGGAUGAUGUGCGUGUUCCAUGUAGGGCUGGAGGUUUGGUUCAUCAAAUGGAGACUUUUAGCUUUGUGUUCAUCCUAAAGAUGAUGCUUAAAAUCCUUCGCAUGACAAAUGUUUUGUCUCUUCUAUUGCAAAAGAAGGAUCAAAAUAUUGUUCAGGCAAUGUCAUUGGUUACGGAUGUGAGAACACGUUUGAUCAACUGGAGAAAUAAUGGUUGGAAGACACUCUUGGAAGAUGUCAAAGCCUUUUGCGCCAAAAACGACAUUCCCAUACCAAAUAUGGAUGACAUCUUCACAAAGUGGGGGAAAUCAAGAAAAAGGUGGACGAAACAAUGUCACGGCUGA
rnacentral:rRNA from 1 species